rnacentral:lncRNA from 1 species
GCUGAAGUUUGACCCCAGCGACAUCAAAGUUGUAUGCCUGGCCGGGCGUGGUGGAGUUGUAUACCUGAGAUGCACGGAGGGUGAAAUGGGCGCCAUGUCUGUGUGGCCCCCAAGAUUGGCCCCCUGGGUCUGUCUCCGAAAAAGGUUGGUGAUGACAUUGCCAAGGCAGCCGGUGACUGGAGGGGUCUGAGGAUUACAGUGAAACUGGCCAUUCAGAACAGACAGGCCCUGAUUGAGGCAGUGCCUUCUGCCUCUGCCCUGAUCGUCAAAGCCCUCAAGGAACUGCCAAGGGACAGAAAGAAAUGGAAAAACAUCAAACACAGUGGAAAUAUCACUUGUGAUGAGAUUGUCAACAUUACUUGACAGAUGCGGCACCAAUCUUUAGCCAGAGAACUCUCUAGAACCAUUAAAGAGAUCCUGGGGACUGCUCAGUUUGUGGGCUGCAGUGUUGAUGGCCGUCACCUCAUGACAUCAUAGAUGACAUCAACAGUGGUGCAGUGGAAUGCCCAGCUAGUUAA